rnacentral:rRNA from 1 species
GACGAACGCUGGCGGCGUGCUUAACACAUGCAAGUCGAACGGAAAGGCCCUGCUUUUGUGGGGUGCUCGAGUGGCGAACGGGUGAGUAACACGUGAGUAACCUGCCCUUGACUUUGGGAUAACUUCAGGAAACUGGGGCUAAUACCGGAUAGGAGCUCCUGCUGCAUGGUGGGGGUUGGAAAGUUUCGGCGGUUUGGGAUGGACUCGCGGCUUAUCAGCUUGUUGGUGGGGUAGUGGCUUACCAAGGCUUUGACGGGUAGCCGGCCUGAGAGGGUGACCGGCCACAUUGGGACUGCGAUACGGCCCAGACUCCUACGGGAGGCAGCAGUGGGGAAUAUUGCACAAUGGGCGGAAGCCUGAUGCAGCAACGCCGCGUGCGGGAUGACGGCCUUCGGGUUGUAAACCGCUUUCGCCUGUGACGAAGCGUGAGUGACGGUAAUGGGUAAAGAAGCACCGGCUAACUACGUG